rnacentral:rRNA from 1 species
UGCCUUUUGCAAAAUAUAAAAGGCAAAAUCUGCUCAAUGAAUAAAAAACUUUAAAUAGCCGCAGUAUCCUGACUGUGCUAAGGUAGCAUAAUCAUUUGCUUCUUAAUUGGAAGCUAGAAUGAACGAAUAAACGGGAAAAAGCUUUUUUCUUACUAUCUAAAAAAAUUAGUCUUCAAGUGAAAAUACUUGAAUAAAAUAAAAAGACAAGAAGACCCUGUCGCACUUCAAUGUUUUACGAAAAUAUUUUAGUAAAACAUUUUUAUUGGGGCAAUAAAUAACUAUUUUAAUCGUUAAUUUUAAAUUAAGAAAUAUAAUUCAAUUGAAUAACAAAAUUCUUUAUUAAAAGAAAGUAACCGCAGGGAUAACAGGUUAAUUUGCUUUGAGAGCCCAAAUUAACAAGCAAGAUUAAUACCUCGAUGUUGGCUUAAAAAUUCAUUAUGGUGCAGCCGCUAUAAAUGAUAGUUUGUUCAAC